rnacentral:rRNA from 1 species
AUUGAACGCUGGCGGCAGGCCUAACACAUGCAAGUCGAGCGGAGCGACGGCCGGGUGAGUAAUGCAUAUGAAUCUGCCUGGUAGUGGGGGAUAACGUCCGGCAACGGGCGCUAAUACAGCCUGCUAUCAGAUGCGCCUGCGUCGGAUUAGCUAGUUGGUGGGGUAAAAGCCUACCAAGGCGACGAUCCGGAACUGGUCUGAGUGGAUGAUCAGUCAAACUGGAACUGAGACACGGUCCAGACUCCUACGGGAGUCAGCAGUGGGGAAUAUUGGACAAGGGGCGAAAUCCUGAUCCAGCGAUGCCUCGUGUGUGAAGAAGGUCUUCGGAUUGUAAAGCACUUUAAGUUGGGAGGCGUUACCAACAGAAUAAGCACCGGCUAACUUCGUGCCAGCAGCCGCGGUAAUUC